rnacentral:tRNA from 1 species
GUAGGCAUGGCCGAGCGGUCUAAGGCGCUGGUUUAAGGCACCAGUCAUUUCGAUGGACGUGGGUUCGAAUCCCACUGCUGCCA